rnacentral:rRNA from 1 species
GACGAACGCUGGCGGCGUGCUUAACACAUGCAAGUCGAACGGAAAGGCCCUGCUUUUGUGGGGUGCUCGAGUGGCGAAGGGGUGAGUAACACGUGAGUAACCUGCCCUUGACUUUGGGAGAACUUCAGGAAACUGGGGCUAAUACCGGAUAGGAGCUCCUGCUGCAUGGUGGGGGUUGGAAAGUUUCGGCGGUUGGGGAUGGACUCGCGGCUUAUCAGCUUGUUGGUGGGGUAGUGGCUUACCAAGGCUUUGACGGGUAGCCGGCCUGAGAGGGUGACCGGCCACAUUGGGACUGAGAUACGGCCCAGACUCCUACGGGAGGCAGCAGUGGGGAAUAUUGCACAAUGGGCGGAAGCCUGAUGCAGCAACGCCGCGUGCGGGAUGACGGCCUUCGGGUUGUAAACCGCUUUCGCCUGUGACGAAGCGUGAGUGACGGUAAUGGGUAAAGAAGCACCGGCUAACUACGUG